AUGAAAUGCAAAGCAGGAAGCAAAGGAUCUAGCCCUCUGUCCUUCCGCAUGAUGUAACUCUAAGGAGGAGGGGCAGAAAAAGGAGGAGCAUAAACAUGUCCCUGGCCACCCCAGAAUUUGUCAUCUGGAAGAUGUGAUAACCAUAAAGCAGUGUCUGGCAGACUUUUGGCUACAGGGGUGUAGAAGACCAAUGCCAGCUGCUGUGCUCUGGGUUUACCCCAAGGCCACGCUUCCCACAGUCUGCGCCCAGCCCUAACACUCCAUCUCUAAUCUGGAAGGAGACCCCUCUGCUGGAUGACUCUGGUGUGAAGGCUCCUCCUCGAUAUCUUUGGUACAGCAUGGAGGCACUGCAGAGAAUUUACUACGACUGGAAAACUUGGAAAAUUGGCCUUCAAACCUGUUCUUCUAAAAAUGGGAUGAGUAUCUUCAUCCUAUUUACUUCAUGAGAUCAAAAUCUCUCUUCUGACAAAAAAAGGAGACAUCUGUGACUUCAACCUGAAUGCCCUCGUUAAGUUUUAACCUUUCUUCCCCUUUUGUAAGUGCAUGGGCAACUUG